AGGGGCAGCGCGGGAUAGCAAUAUCCUGGCGGCGACCGGCGGAAGGGUGCGUAACGCGUGAGCGACAUGCCCGUUGCCCGGGGACAACCGGUGGAAACGCCGACUAAUCCCCGAUGGGAUACGAUGCUUCAUGGCAUUGUAUUGAAAGUUACGGCGGCGACGGAUUGGCUCGCGUCCGAUUAGCUGGUUGGCGGGGUAACGGCCCACCAAGGCUACGAUCGGUAGGGGUUCUGAGAGGAAGGCCCCCCACAAUGGGACUGAGACACGGCCCAUACUCCUACGGGAGGCAGCAGUGAGGAAUAUUGGUCAAUGGGCGGAAGCCUGAACCAGCCAUGCCGCGUGCGGGAAGGAGGCCCUAUGGGCUGUGAACCGCUUUUGCCUGGGGGCAAUAAGGGCGUCGCGCACGUCCGAUGAGAGUACCAGGCGAAUAAGCAUCGGCUAACUCCGUGCCAGCAGCCGCGGUAAUACGGGGGAUGCGAGCGUUAUCCGGAUUCAUUGGGUUUAAAGGGUGCGUAGGCUGUGCGUCAAGUCGGGGGUGAAAUUCCGGUGCUCAACACCGGGGCUGCCCUUGAUACUGUCGCGCUGGAGUGCGGAUGCCGCCGGAGGAAUGAGUGGUGUAGCGGUGAAAUGCUUAGAUAUCACUCAGAACACCGAUUGCGAAGGCAUCUGGCGAAUCCGUAACUGAUGCUGAGGCACGAAAGCGUGGGGAUAGAACAGGAUUAGAUACCCUGGUAUUCCACGCCGUAAACAAUGAUGGCUAACCGCCGGCGACAGACUGUCGGUGGCCAAGCGAAAGCGAUAAGCCAUCCACCUGGGGAGUACGUCGGCAACGAUGAAACUCAAAGGAAUUGACGGGGGCCCGCACAAGCGGAGGAACAUGUGGUUUAAUUCGAUGAUACGCGAGGAACCUUACCCGGGCUCGAACGGCACCUGAAUCACCCAGAGAUGGGCGAGUCUUCGGACAGGUGUCGAGGUGCUGCAUGGUUAUCGUCAGCUCGUGCCGUGAGGUGUCGGCUCAAGUGCCAUAACGAGCGCAACCCCUGCCGCCAGUUGCCAUCAGGUGAAGCUGGGCACUCU
rnacentral:rRNA from 1 species